rnacentral:tRNA from 1 species
UAGAGCAAAGGACUGAAAAUCCUUGUGUCCCCGGUUCGAUUCCUGGUGGUACCA